GAGUUUGAUCAUGGCUCAGAACGUACGCUGGCGGCACGCCUAACACAUGCAAGUCGAACGAAGUAGCAAUACUUAGUGGCAGACGGGUGAGUAACAUGUAGGUAUCUGCCCUUUGGCCUGGAAUAACACGAGGAAACUUGUGCUAAUACCGGAUAAGUCUUUACGGAGAAAGCUUUAUGCACCAUUGGAUGAGCCUGCACUUGAUUAGUUUGUUGGUGGGGUAAUGGCCUACCAAGACUGUGAUCAAUAGCUGAUUUGAGAGGAUGAUCAGCCACAUUGGGACUGAGACACGGCCCAAACUCCUACGGGAGGCAGCAGUGGGGAAUCUUGCACAAUGGAGGAAACUCUGGUGCAGCGAUGCCGCGUGAGUGAAGAAGGCCCUUGGGUUGUAAAGCUCUUUCGUCGGGGAAGAAAAUGACUGUACCCGAAUAAGAAGGUCCGGCUAACUUCGUGCCAGCAGCCGCGGUAAUACGAAGGGACCUAGCGUAGUUCGGAAUUACUGGGCUUAAAGAGUUCGUAGGUGGUUGAAAAAGUUAGUGGUGAAAUCCCAGAGCUUAACUCUGGAACUGCCAUUAAAACUUUUCAGCUAGAGUAUGAUAGAGGAAAGCAGAAUUUCUAGUGUAGAGGUGAAAUUCGUAGAUGUUAGAAAGAAUACCAAUUGCGAAGGCAGCUUUCUGGAUCAUUACUGACACUGAGGAACGAAAGCAUGGGUAGCGAAGAGGAUUAGAUACCCUCGUAGUCCAUGCCGUAAACGAUGUGUGUUAGACGUUGGAAAUUUAUUUUCAGUGUCGCAGGGAAACCGAUAAACACACCGCCUGGGGAGUACGACCGCAAGGUUAAAACUCAAAUGAAUUGACGGGGACCCGCACAAGUAGUGGAGCAUGUGGUUUAAUUCGAAGAUACGCGCAGAACCUUACCAACACUUGACAUGUUCGUCGCGACUCUAAGAGAUUAGAGUUUUCGGUUCGGCCGGACGAAACACAGGUGCUGCAUGGCUGUCGUCAGCUCGUGUCGUGAGAUGUUGGGUUAAGUCCCGCAACGAGCGCAACCCUCACUUUUAGUUGCCAUCAUUAAGUUGGGCACUCUGAAAGAACUGCCAGUGAUAAGCUGGAGGAAGGUGGGGAUGACGUCAAGUCCUCAUGGCCCUUACGUGUUGGGCUACACACGUGCUACAAUGGUAUCUACAACAGGAAGCAAGACUGCGAAGUUAAGCAAAUCCCUAAAAGAUACCUCAGUUCGGAUUGCACUCUGCAACUCGAGUGCAUGAAGCUGGAAUUACUAGUAAUCGUGGAUCAGCGUGCCACGGUGAAUGCGUUCCCGGGUCUUGUACACACCGCCCGUCACACCAUGGGAGUUGGUUCUACCUUAAGGCAAGGUUUAAAACCCUUGACCACGGUAUAGUCAGCGACUGGGGUGAAGUCGUAACAAGGUAACC
rnacentral:rRNA from 1 species